UACGGAGGGUGCGAGCGUUGUCCGGAAUCAUUGGGCGUAAAGGGCGCGUAGGUGGCCACUUCAAGCGUGCGGUGAAAGUCGGGGGCUCAACCCCUGAUCGGCCGUGCGAACUGGGGGGCUGGAGCACUGUAGAGGCAGGCGGAAUUCCGGGUGUAGCGGUGGAAUGCGUAGAGAUCCGGAGGAACACCAAUUGCGAAGGCAGCUCGCUGGGACGUUACUGACGCUGAGACGCGAAAGCGUGGGGAGCAAACAGGG
rnacentral:rRNA from 1 species